AUUGAACGCUGGCGGCAGGCCUAACACAUGCAAGUCGAACGAGUGGCGGACGGGUGAGUAAUGUCUGGGACACUGCCUGAUGGAGGGGGAUAACUACUGGAAACGGUAGCUAAUACCGCAUACCAUCAGAUGUGCCCAGAUGGGAUUAGCUAGUUGGUGGGGUAAAGGAUCACCCAGGCGACGUUCCCUAGCUGGUCUGAGAGGCUGACCAGCCACACUGGAACGGAGACACGGUCCAGACUCCUACGGGAGGGAGCAGGGGGGAAUAUUGCACAAUGGGCGCAAGGCUGAUGCAGCCAUGCCGCGUGUAUGAAGAAGGCAUUCGGGUUGUAAAGGACUUUCAGCGGGGAGGCGUUACCCGCAGAAGAAGCACCGGCUAACUCCGUGCCAGCAGCCGCGGUAAUUC
rnacentral:rRNA from 1 species